CAAUUAAUAAAAUGGGGGCAUGCACAAAGCCAUUCAGGACAAGAUGGGAGUAGAGCUACAUGGGGGCAACAGCAAUGCCAGCAAUUAGAGGGAAAGGGGUGGAUUGAGCCAUUGAGGGUUCAGCUAUUACAUCUUGCCAUCGAUUUGGCUACCUUUCUAAGGCCCUAUAUGUUUUGAAUCUUCUAAAGUGUAUCAGAUUUCACCGAGAUUCGCUGCCAUCCUGCCAUGUAUAGACUUUGUGGAGCUCUAGCCGUGGAGGCAGUCAAUGGUAACGAGGAUGUACCGUAGGACUUAGGAUCUAUCCAGAGGCAUUUGGAGAUGUCUCAUGUAGAAUUGAGUGCGAGGGCGGGUUGGGCCCUGAUUUGGCUGCGCCGAGUAUCUGCGUCACCAUCCCGAUCCCGUCCUCCAGCAAGCCGUGCAUCAUCCCUUCCCCCGCCAGCGGCCUCGCCGCGGCGGCGAGGGCACUCAUCAAGA